rnacentral:rRNA from 1 species
UACGAAGGAUGCGAGCGUUAUCCGGAUUUAUUGGGUUUAAAGGGAGCGUAGGCGGUCUUAUAAGUCAGUGGUGAAAUCUCGUUGCUUAACAACGAACGUGCCAUUGAUACUGUAAGACUUGAGUACAGUUGCCGUUGGCGGAAUGUGUCAUGUAGCGGUGAAAUGCAUAGAUAUGACACAGAACACCGAUUGCGAAGGCAGCUGACGAAACUGUAACUGACGCUGAGGCUCGAAAGCGUGGGGAUCAAACAGG